CAAGAGUUCAGCAAAGCAGAGCAGAAACCCAGUCCCCUAGCACAGCCCAGGGACCAAGGGAUGGUGUCCCCAUGUGAGAAAUCAAAGCAGAAGUCCUGUGAGAAUUGGAGGGAGAAUCCCCAGCGAUGACAGGACACGUGUGGAGUGUCCCCCAGUCGCCAUUUGAUCAGCCCCAGGUGGUUCCACUUUGAGAGGAGGAUGGCGGCAAUGAGACGGAGGUUCUUUAAGGAACGAUGCCAGGAUGCAGGCAUGCAGGACAGGAGGUGAGAAAGAACGGAGGUCAGUUGGAAGUCAUUGGAAGGCCAGUGCUGUUGGACACCAAUUUGGGGGACUGAGCUGAUGAUCCUCUGGGACUACCUGGGAGUCUUAAGACAUGCAUAUCAGAACUGCCACCUGAAGAAUGAAGCGGGGAAGCAAUGACCCAUCGGUUUCCAUCCCCUGUGGACAAGAACAUUCACUCCCAGGUCGCCCAUGUGUGACUACUGAGCAUCCCAUGAGAUGGUGUUAGAGAAGCUUUGGCAGGAAGUGAGACCAACGGGGCAUGGGUCAAGGCGAUGUGCUGUUAGGUUGCACCUGUGCCCAGCAACUGCAGCCCAAGUGGAACUGGUUACUAUAGCAGUGUCUAAGGAGGGAGGGGAGACUGAGAGGUUUUGAAGUGGUGCACAAGAGAUGUGUGAUACAUCGAUCUUCCCUUCCUAUGCAUGAAUGGGGAGUGGAUGGGGAUACCCUCAGACCCAAAAAGGGAGGUGGAAAUGGCCUGCCAACAGAUUCCUGCAGGGCCAGGCUUUGGGGAGCAGGGAGCUCCCCAGACCAUGAGUGGGUGCUAACUGCAUGCCCCCUCUGACAGGUAUGAAGAUUAAAUCUGGAGGCACCAUCUCUGCUAGACCCCUACAUCACCCUCACUUCUCAUGAACACAUCCUGCCCCAUGAGAAUGCCCUAUCCUCCCUACCCACUUCUGGCCCAUCUGCCCUGGCUGUCAGCCACUGGGUCCUUGGCCAGAGACUGCAUUCCAUACUGCCUGUGCCAGCCCCACUCAGGGAAACCAACUGGAGAAACAGAGGUAUUCAGGGUUCUGAGUAGAGUCAGGUCAUUUGCUCAUUCAUUCACCUGUCUGGGCAGCCUAUUGGCACAAACAGUGGAGAGCCAGAGCCUUUCUGGUUCCUAUAUCCUGUGGGUACAUUUUUCUGAAUUCCCUUACUCAACAUGACUUCCCUGCCAUAUUGUAGUCAAAUUAGUGCUUCUCAAAGUGCUGGACCUGCAGCAGCAGGAUUAUCCAAGAAUCUGGUAGAAAUGCAAAUUCUCAGACUCCGGGUCUGGGGCCAAGCAAUCUUGCUUUGACAAGCCCUCGCGGUGAUUCCGUUGCAUGCUGACAUCUGGCAACCACUGUCUAGAAGAAUGGUGUCCUGGGGUUACUUACUCAGUGUGUGUGUACACAGCGGCCCUCACAUUUGCCCUCUGGGUUGGAGUGGAAGCUACUCUCUAGCAGAAGUAUGGAUGGACAUCCAAAGGUGUGGUCUGCUUAGCUAGGAAGCCACUUUGAACCACCGCCCAGACCUUAGCACUGACAAGACUGUGACCUCUGGGUCACCUCCAGAGAUUACCACCAGCUCCCACCCACACUGAACCACCCUGUGUCCCUGGGGAGAAUGAGUGGUAAUACAAUGGUAAGAGUCAGAAUAAUAGAAAAAAUAAUAAUAGUUACCAUUCUUAUUAGACUUUCAAUGUGUUAAAUACUUUAUUUCACAAAAACAACCCUAUGACAUAUGUCACAUUGUUAUACCCGUUUUAAAGAUAAGGAAGUGAAGGAAUAAGGUCCCACAGAUAACAAGAGCUGAGUGGUUGGGUUAAACCAGAUUUAUCUGGUUCUAGUGACUAUCUCACACUCUCACAAGCUCUGCAUCUGCCAAUUCUGGAAAUUGCUACUCACAUUUUAUACACACACACACACACACAUGCAGAGGAUCAAACUCAGUCAUCUGUAUUGGUGGCCAACAUCAUACAGCAUAUACACACACACACACACACACACACAUAUAUUUACAUAAUUGUGUUUAUGUAUUCACAUUAGUCUUUAUUUAUUUAUUUUUAAUUAGGAAUUAAUUUAAUUAUGGAAUAAAAGACCACAAUUCAGCUGAAGAGAGAGCAAAGGAAAG